ACACCAGAAUACACAGACGUGCAGGUGGAAAAAUCAUGUUGUCGGAGGUGUAGGGGGACAUUUUCGUAUCAUGGAUCGACAGCCGUGCAUCUGGUUCACUGUUCACAGGUUGACUCGUGCAACUUGACAAAGCAACUUUAGACGUAGAAAAUAUCUCCAGGGGACCACAGAUUCCUUAUGUACGCAACAAAAGAAGGUAAAUUGGAAAAUGCUCACACCGUCCAUUGAAGAUGAAGCUUCCUUAUUUUGACGUUGUGGUGGCCGCUGUUCUGUUUUGUAUCGUGGCGAAAACCGCCUCUUGUCCUCCACCAUGUCGCUGUCAUAAGCAGUUGUAUACGUAUUGUGACAAUGCCUCCUUAACCGCCAACCAUCUAGGUGAUGUACUACUGAAUACCCCAACAACGACCAUAUAUUUGGACUUAAGUUUGAACAGCAUUUCCUACCUCCCUGAAAAGAUUUUUGACCACCAUCCUCAGCUUACAAGUGUGAACCUUGCAAGGAACGCCAUUGGGAGCGUCUCUCCAAAAGUGUUUGUGCCUUUGACACAACUACGAAAGUUGUUUUUGGAAGAGAAUAACAUUGUUGUCAUCAAUUCUGGAUUAUUUUCUUCUCUGGAAAAAUUGGAAAUUCUUAGAUUGGACGGAAACAAAAUAGAGGAUGUACAUAACACUAGCUUUGAAAAUCUUGUAAGCUUGGAAGAGCUUUAUCUUCGCGACAACCAUUUAGAUGAAAUUCCGUCUUUGUUAUUUUCCAAGACAACGAAACUACGGGUUUUGGAUCUAUCAGAUAAUCUUAUUGAAUACAUCCAUGAUGGAACCUUUACACAUCUGAGAAACCUAGAACUGUUAUCGUUAGCCAAGAACAGAAUUCGUACAUUACAGUCAUUCAGUCUGAGUGGACUAGUCAAUUUAAAGGAGUUAAGUCUUCGUAGCAAUAAACUGUCUGUUUUGCGUGCAACUGAUUUGGAUGCGGUACGAUUUAGUCUACGGGAGCUUGACUUAUCAUCAAACAUAUUGUCAACCCUGACUAGCAAUGUGUUUCGGGGUAUGGGGAAUCUAGUGAAUUUGAAUAUUAGUGAAAAUAAUGUCGAACUAAUAAACGACAGUGCAUUUUUCGGGUUAUCUCUAGACAAGCUGCUUCUGAAUAGUAACAAGUUAACCCAGCUUUGGAGGUCAUCUUUUCGUGGAGUGCAAAGAAUCGCUUAUUUGGAUUUUAGUUCUAAUGAAAUAUCGCGCAUAGAGACAGGAGCAUUUGACAGUUUCAACGAAUUUAUAUUUGUGCUGGAUCUAGCAAGGAACAAACUCACAAAAUUACAAUAUGGAAUGGUACGUGAAUUGAAAUCCCUUCAAGUGUUGAGAUUAGCCCAUAAUGAAAUAGACGAAGUGGUUAAUACCGCUAUGAAAGAUCUAACAAAUCUUCAGGAACUCGACAUUGGUAAAAAUAAAUUCACAGUGAUAGACGCUAAGGAUUUUGUCGGCCCCCUGAACUCCUUAAAACUAUUUUCUCUACAAUGUAAUACAUUGGAAAGAUUUGUGAAUUUUAAUUUUGAUAAAGACAUUUUUAUAUCUAUGAAUCUAACUAUCUCAAAUGUACUGUCCCGGUCAGUCAAUGUCUCUUGGCCAUAUGCAAAAGGGGGCCAGUUAUACUGGUCCGUGACCAUCAAAUGUGUGGAUUCGAACAAGUGUCCAUUUGACUCGCAACCAAAUUAUUUACCAGCAUACAGGGAAAGUUACGUGAUAGACAAUCUGCUACCCAUAUCUCAGUAUUAUGUGUGUGUUAACCCAGAAUUCGCAAAUAGCAAUGUAAGGGUGGAACAGUGUCUGUUUAUUAUGACGUCAGAGGAAGUGAUCACCAGCACAAAAUCUCCCUCCACGGAAGUGAACUCUCUAGCAGCAUCUGACGCUUCUUUUCCAAGGACUAUAUUUUGUGCAAUUUUAUCCAUGAUCUAUUUCAUUCUUACAUGUUUUUGUUAAAAUUAAUUCGUAUGCAAAUAUACAGAAAAGCC
rnacentral:misc_RNA from 1 species